rnacentral:rRNA from 1 species
AACUGUGAGACAGGUGCUGCAUGGCUGUCGUCAGCUCGUGUUGUGAAAUGUUGGGUUAAGUCCCGCAACGAGCGCAACCCUUAUCCUUUGUUGCCAGCGAUUAGGUCGGGAACUCAAAGGAGACUGCCAGUGAUAAACUGGAGGAAGGUGGGGAUGACGUCAAGUCAUCAUGGCCCUUACGACCAGGGCUACACACGUGCUACAAUGGCGCAUACAAAGAGAAGCGACCUCGCGAGAGCAAGCGGACCUCAUAAAGUGCGUCGUAGUCCGGAUUGGAGUCUGCAACUCGACUCCAUGAAGUCGGAAUCGCUAGUAAUCGUGGAUCAGAAUGCCACGGUGAAUACGUUCCCGGGCCUUGUACACACCGCCCGUCACACCAUGGGAGUGGGUUGCAAAAGAAGUAGGUAGCUUAACCUUCGGGAGGGCGCUUACCACUUUGUGAUUCAUGACUGGGGUGAAGUCGUAACAAGGUAACCGUAGGGGAACCUGCGGUUGGA